CGGGAAUUUUGGGCAAUGGGCGAAAGCCUGACCCAGCAACGCCGCGUGAGGGAUGAAGUAUUUCGGUAUGUAAACCUCGAAAGAAUGGGAAGAAUAAAUGACGGUACCAUUUAUAAGCUCCGGCUAACUACGUGCCAGCAGCCGCGGUAAUACGUAGGGAGCAAGCGUUGUUCGGAUUUACUGGGCGUAAAGGGCGCGUAGGCGGCGCGGUAAGUCACUUGUGAAAUCUCUGGGCUUAACUCAGAACGGCCAAGUGAUACUGCUGUGCUAGAGUGCGGAAGAGGCAACCGGAAUUCUUGGUGUAGCGGUGAAAUGCGUAGAUAUCAAGAGGAACACCUGAGGCGAAGGCGGGUUGCUGGGCCGACACUGACGCUGAUGCGCGAAAGCCAGGGGAGCAAACG
rnacentral:rRNA from 1 species